rnacentral:rRNA from 1 species
UUAAGCGACUAAGCGUACACGGUGGAUGCCCUGGCAGUCAGAGGCGAUGAAGGACGUGCUAAUCUGCGAUAAGCGUCGGUAAGGUGAUAUGAACCGUUAUAACCGGCGAUUUCCGAAUGGGGAAACCCAGUGUGUUUCGACACACUAUCAUUAACUGAAUCCAUAGGUUAAUGAGGCGAACCGGGGAACUGAAACAUCUAAGUACCCCGAGGAAAAGAAAUCAACCGAGAUUCCCCCAGUAGCGGCGAGCGAACGGGGAGCAGCCCAGAGCCUGAAUCAGUGUGUGUGUUAGUGGAAGCGUCUGGAAAGGCGCGCGAUACAGGGUGACAGCCCCGUACACAAAAAUGCACAUGCUGUGAGCUCGAUGAGUAGGGCGGGACACGUGGUAUCCUGUCUGAAUAUGGGGGGGACCAUCCUCCAAGGCUAAAUACUCCUGACUGACCGAUAGUGAACCAGUACCGUGAGGGAAAGGCGAAAAGAACCCCGGCGAGGGGAGUGAAAAAGAACCUGAAACCGUGUACGUACAAGCAGUGGGAGCACGCUUAGGCGUGUGACUGCGUACCUUUUGUAUAAUGGGUCAGCGACUUAUAUUCUGUAGCAAGGUUAACCGAAUAGGGGAGCCGAAGGGAAACCGAGUCUUAACUGGGCGUUAAGUUGCAGGGUAUAGACCCGAAACCCGGUGAUCUAGCCAUGGGCAGGUUGAAGGUUGGGUAACACUAACUGGAGGACCGAACCGACUAAUGUUGAAAAAUUAGCGGAUGACUUGUGGCUGGGGGUGAAAGGCCAAUCAAACCGGGAGAUAGCUGGUUCUCCCCGAAAGCUAUUUAGGUAGCGCCUCGUGAAUUCAUCUCCGGGGGUAGAGCACUGUUUCGGCAAGGGGGUCAUCCCGACUUACCAACCCGAUGCAAACUGCGAAUACCGGAGAAUGUUAUCACGGGAGACACACGGCGGGUGCUAACGUCCGUCGUGAAGAGGGAAACAACCCAGACCGCCAGCUAAGGUCCCAAAGUCAUGGUUAAGUGGGAAACGAUGUGGGAAGGCCCAGACAGCCAGGAUGUUGGCUUAGAAGCAGCCAUCAUUUAAAGAAAGCGUAAUAGCUCACUGGUCGAGUCGGCCUGCGCGGAAGAUGUAACGGGGCUAAACCAUGCACCGAAGCUGCGGCAGCGACGCUUAUGCGUUGUUGGGUAGGGGAGCGUUCUGUAAGCCUGCGAAGGUGUGCUGUGAGGCAUGCUGGAGGUAUCAGAAGUGCGAAUGCUGACAUAAGUAACGAUAAAGCGGGUGAAAAGCCCGCUCGCCGGAAGACCAAGGGUUCCUGUCCAACGUUAAUCGGGGCAGGGUGAGUCGACCCCUAAGGCGAGGCCGAAAGGCGUAGUCGAUGGGAAACAGGUUAAUAUUCCUGUACUUGGUGUUACUGCGAAGGGGGGACGGAGAAGGCUAUGUUGGCCGGGCGACGGUUGUCCCGGUUUAAGCGUGUAGGCUGGUUUUCCAGGCAAAUCCGGAAAAUCAAGGCUGAGGCGUGAUGACGAGGCACUACGGUGCUGAAGCAACAAAUGCCCUGCUUCCAGGAAAAGCCUCUAAGCAUCAGGUAACAUCAAAUCGUACCCCAAACCGACACAGGUGGUCAGGUAGAGAAUACCAAGGCGCUUGAGAGAACUCGGGUGAAGGAACUAGGCAAAAUGGUGCCGUAACUUCGGGAGAAGGCACGCUGAUAUGUAGGUGAAGUCCCUCGCGGAUGGAGCUGAAAUCAGUCGAAGAUACCAGCUGGCUGCAACUGUUUAUUAAAAACACAGCACUGUGCAAACACGAAAGUGGACGUAUACGGUGUGACGCCUGCCCGGUGCCGGAAGGUUAAUUGAUGGGGUUAGCCGCAAGGCGAAGCUCUUGAUCGAAGCCCCGGUAAACGGCGGCCGUAACUAUAACGGUCCUAAGGUAGCGAAAUUCCUUGUCGGGUAAGUUCCGACCUGCACGAAUGGCGUAAUGAUGGCCAGGCUGUCUCCACCCGAGACUCAGUGAAAUUGAACUCGCUGUGAAGAUGCAGUGUACCCGCGGCAAGACGGAAAGACCCCGUGAACCUUUACUAUAGCUUGACACUGAACAUUGAGCCUUGAUGUGUAGGAUAGGUGGGAGGCUUGGAAGUGUGGACGCCAGUCUGCAUGGAGCCGACCUUGAAAUACCACCCUUUAAUGUUUGAUGUUCUAACGUUGACCCGUAAUCCGGGUUGCGGACAGUGUCUGGUGGGUAGUUUGACUGGGGCGGUCUCCUCCUAAAGAGUAACGGAGGAGCACGAAGGUUGGCUAAUCCUGGUCGGACAUCAGGAGGUUAGUGCAAUGGCAUAAGCCAGCUUGACUGCGAGCGUGACGGCGCGAGCAGGUGCGAAAGCAGGUCAUAGUGAUCCGGUGGUUCUGAAUGGAAGGGCCAUCGCUCAACGGAUAAAAGGUACUCCGGGGAUAACAGGCUGAUACCGCCCAAGAGUUCAUAUCGACGGCGGUGUUUGGCACCUCGAUGUCGGCUCAUCACAUCCUGGGGCUGAAGUAGGUCCCAAGGGUAUGGCUGUUCGCCAUUUAAAGUGGUACGCGAGCUGGGUUUAGAACGUCGUGAGACAGUUCGGUCCCUAUCUGCCGUGGGCGCUGGAGAACUGAGGGGGGCUGCUCCUAGUACGAGAGGACCGGAGUGGACGCAUCACUGGUGUUCGGGUUGUCAUGCCAAUGGCACUGCCAGGUAGCUAAAUGCGGAAGAGAUAAGUGCUGAAAGCAUCUAAGCACGAAACUUGCCCCGAGAUGAGUUCUCCCUGACUCCUUGAGAGUCCUGAAGGAACGUUGAAGACGACGACGUUGAUAGGCCGGGUGUGUAAGCGCAGCGAUGCGUUGAGCUAACCGGUACUAAUGAACCGUGAGGCUUAACCUU